rnacentral:rRNA from 1 species
ACGGAGGGUGCAAGCGUUAUUCGGAAUUACUGGGCGUAAAGCGCGCGCAGGCGGUUGUGUAAGUCAGAUGUGAAAUCCCGAGGCUCAACUUCAGAACUGCAUCUGAAACUGCAUGACUAGAGUACAGGAGGGGGAAACGGAAUUCCUGGUGUAGGGGUGAAAUUCGUAGAUAUCACGAGGAAGACCAGUGGCGAAGGCGGUUUACUGGGCUGAUACUGACGCUGAGGCGCGAAAGCGUGGGGAGCAAACAG